GUAGAUAUGUGGAGGAACACCAGUGGCGAAGGCGGCUCUCUGGUCUGUAACUGACGCUGAGGUGCGAAAGCGUGGGGAGCGAACAGGAUUAGAUACCCUGGUAGUCCACGCCGUAAACGAUGAGUGCUAGGUGUUAGGGGGUUUCCGCCCCUUAGUGCUGCAGUUAACGCAAUAAGCACUCCGCCUGGGGAGUACGGCCGCAAGGCUGAAACUCAAAAGAAUUGACGGGGGCCCGCACAAGCGGUGGAGCAUGUGGUUUAAUUCGAAGCAACGCGAAGAACCUUACCAGGUCUUGACAUCUUCGGAUGUCCCUAGAGAUAGGGAGUUCCCUUCGGGGACCGAAUGACAGGUGGUGCAUGGUUGUCGUCAGCUCGUGUCGUGAGAUGUUGGGUUAAGUCCCGCAACGAGCGCAACCCUUGAUCUUAGUUGCCAGCAUUAAGUUGGGCACUCUAAGGUGACUGCCGGUGACAAACCGGAGGAAGGUGGGGAUGACGUCAAAUCAUCAUGCCCCUUAUGACCUGGGCUACACACGUGCUACAAUGGAUGGAACAAAGGGCAGCGAAGCGGCAACGCAUUAGCAAAUCCCAUAAAUCCAUUCUCAGUUCGGAUUGCAGGCUGCAACUCGCCUGUAUGAAGCCGGAAUCGCUAGUAAUCGUGGAUCAGCAUGCCACGGUGAAUACGUUCCCGGGCCUUGUACACACCGCCCGUCACACCACGAGAGUUGGCAACACCCGAAGUCGGUGGGGUAACCUUGGAGCCA
rnacentral:rRNA from 1 species